rnacentral:rRNA from 1 species
CGGUUGAUCCUGCCGGACCUGACUGCUAUCGGAUUGAUACUAAGCCAUGCGAGUCAUUGUAGCAAUACAAGGCAUACGGCUCAGUAACGCGUAGUCAACCUAACCUAUGGACGGGAAUAACCUCGGGAAACUGAGAAUAAUGCCCGAUAGAACACUAUACCUGGAAUGGUUUGUGUUCCAAAUGAUUUAUCGCCAUAGGAUGGGACUGCGGCCUAUCAGUUUGUUGGUGAGGUAAUGGCCCACCAAGACUAUUACAGGUACGGGCUCUGAGAGGAGUAGCCCGGAGAUGGGUACUGAGACACGGACCCAGGCCCUAUGGGGCGCAGCAGGCGAGAAAACUUUGCAAUGUGCGAAAGCACGACAAGGUUAAUCCGAGUGAUUUGUGCUAAACGAAUCUUUUGUUAGUCCUAGAAACACUAACGAAUAAGGGGUGGGCAAGUUCUGGUGUCAGCCGCCGCGGUAAAACCAGCACCUCAAGUGGUCAGGAUGAUUAUUGGGCCUAAAGCAUCCGUAGCCGGCUCUGUAAGUUUUCGGUUAAAUCUGUACGCUUAACGUACAGGCUGCCGGGAAUACUGCAAAGCUAGGGAGUGGGAGAGGUAGACGGUACUCGGUAGGAAGUGGUAAAAUGCUUUGAUCUAUCGAUGACCACCUGUGGCGAAGGCGGUCUACCAGAACACGUCCGACGGUGAGGGAUGAAAGCUGGGGGAGCAAACCGGAUUAGAUACCCGGGUAGUCCCAGCUGUAAACUAUGCAAACUCAGUGAUGCAUUGGCUUGUGGCCAAUGCAGUGCUGCAGGGAAGCCGUUAAGUUUGCCGCCUGGGAAGUACGUACGCAAGUAUGAAACUUAAAGGAAUUGGCGGGGGAGCACCACAAGGGGUGAAGCCUGCGGUUCAAUUGGAUUCAACGCCGGG